AUGUUUCUAACCAUAUUCAAGCUUGUGCCCCCAUCAGCUCCACUCCCUAAAGCACCGACAGGAACCAACAGCAAAAUUCGUCUGCGUCACAGAUGUAACAUGACCAUCGGCAAAACAAGUGCAGGGGGAGAUCACGGCUCUCUCGUCCCUCACAGAGCCUCCCUUCUCCAGCAGACAACAAGAGGGACCACCUUCGUCGCUGCUGUUCCCGUUGUUCCCCUGCUCUGCGGAUCUGGCGCUGCGGGAGGCGAGGAUGCUCCGAGGGAGCCAGCCACAGCCAGCGGAGGCUCAAGCCCCCUGCAGAGGCCAGGCUGCAGCCCUGGCGAUGGGGACGGCGGCCACGCGGUGCCCGAGCCGGUGCUGAGCCCAGCGGUUGUUGCUAAACAACCAACCCUGACUCUGGAGAUGUCAGCCAGCAAGGAACAGAGAUUAAACACUCCUGCUAGCACAUCCUGAAACUUGGGUAAGCCUCAGAAUGAUGACAGGCUAUGGAAUAAUGGUCCCUGUUGUAUGAGAAAGCAAAGUUACCACUCCACUGCAUAAUCGGGAGGCUUCCUCGGCCAGAAGGACCAAGCUCAAGGCUGGCUGUGUCCUCAGCACUUCCCGGCAGAGCUGCCAUCUUCAUUGCUGGUCACUUUAAGAAGAGAGGUGAAAAAAUAGUAUAGUGAAUGGUUAAGAGGGAAAAGUGUUCUCCACUUCCCCAUCCUCUCUCUGGAGCUGAUCUCUGCCCUCAGUCUCCCGUUUAUCCUUAACCAGUCCUUCCCAAUCCUUCUGUCCGUGCUUUCUAAUGCUGUUUCUCCUUUGGAAACCUUUACAGACCCAUCACCGAGGGCAGUCUCCAUCUCUCUGUGAGGUUACAGAGCCCGUGGCAAACUCACACUUGUGCCAACAAAAGCUGAGUUUGG
rnacentral:lncRNA from 1 species